GCCGGCGGCACUAGCGCGGUGGUCCCACCUGACCCCAUGCCGAACUCAGAAGUGAAACGCCGUAGCGCCGAUGGUAGUGUGGGGUCUCCCCAUGUGAGAGUAGGGAACUGCCAGGC
rnacentral:rRNA from 1 species